GAGAAUGCUGGGGAGGCUGUGCUGCCACUAUUGUACAGAUGGGAAAACUGAGGCUGAGAAAGGCUAAGUGCCUUUUCUUUGGUUAUGCUGCCGUACCCAGGCCGAGACAGAAAAGAAUCCCAGUUGUCCUGGGAGGACCCUUCCCCUCCGUUGGCUGAGGACGCAGUCCUCCGGAGGCCCUGGCUCUCUGCACCAAGUUUGGUUUGGACUCCCACCUCAAAUGGGAUCAAGGUCUUACUCUCAUUGACGUAAACGUUGACUGAAGGAAGCCUAUCUCCGUAGGGAAACCGAGGGAAAAAACGUGCCCCCAUCUGAUGAAACGUCAUGAAGCCCUGCUGUUAUAACAGAGGAAACAUUUCCCUGUUGUCUCUCCAGAGUAUUUGCCUACCCUCUGGUUGUUGAAGGAAGUUGAAAACAAAUUCCAUGAAGACAUUACACAUCAAUUCCCACAUUUCUUGCCUCUCCUAUAGAUAAGUAAAUAAAAGCCUUAGAAAAUGUACA
rnacentral:lncRNA from 1 species